UUUAAGUUCAGAGGAAUUUGCUAAUUGUCUGAUUUAGUCCUUGCCCACCGUGACUGUAGGAUGCUGUCAGAUAGGGCAGCUGGUCAUGUUUGGUUAGUAGCAUUUUAUGUAGUUCGUAUAAGUUUGUGUCAAAUGUUGAUGCUUCUGCAUUUUAGGGACGAGAACAGGCUCAUCAUAUCAUUUCCCUCAUGUUAAUGCUGCAGCUGUGGCAGUAGCAUUAGUGGCUAUGUUGAUGCUGGUGGUGGGUCCUAUUGGCCACUUUGGUGGCAUUUGAAGCACUACCAAUGUAUUUGGUGGUCAAAACGACUGCUUGGUGGGCUGGCUUUACUGAUGGCUUCUUAACCAACAUAGGUGUUGAGGUACCAUUUACCAGCUUAGGAAGUUAUAGCUCUAAACUUUGUGAAGAAAAAGAUGGAUGACUUCAAGAACCAGAAAUGUUUUACAUAAACGAUAUGCAUUGGGAAAUUUUAACGGCUUCGCCAUCUCUGGUUGACAAAUGGUCAGGUAGUUCACUUAGCAAGUCCAUUUGUUACUUACAUUCUUUGCAUUCAAGUGUAUGUCUCCAUCAGCUAUGCAUCUUGCCGUGGGAAUCACAAUAGCAAAAGCGUGAGCAAGAUUUAAGGAUUUGGGGGGAAGUCAGAUCUAAGUUUAGUGAUACAUUUGUGGAGCUCAUUGCUGAUGUUUUCUGCCAUUGAUCUCUUGCUAUUAUAUUAAGGAGAAGAUAUUUGUGGUUCAGGGGGGACUUUUCAGAAAUGCCAUGGUGAUUGAGCAAUUGAACGGCUUUGUGAACUCCCAGAAGAAGGUUAAUGUAUGAGAUAUUAUGAAGUGAUCCAUUCCCUAAUCCUGGUAGAGGACCAAAGCAAGCGUGGUGUGGGUCUCUGUUUUGGUGGAGAUGUUACCAAUAGGUUUCUGAAAGAUAAUAAACUAGUUGUUUGAUCUCAUGAGGUCAAGGAUGAAGACUAGGAAAUUGAGGAUGGUGGGAAACUUAUCACUGUUUUUCGAGCUACAGACUUAUCACUGAGCUCAAAGUAUUUGGAUUUAUCUAUUGGCUGAGAUGCAAAAUUCCAUAAGCAAUUUGAAUUGCACAGAGGGUGAUUAUUUUAAGCAUGACUUGGAUGGCAGAUUGGCAGUCAACAGAAGUCAUUAACCAUGACACUUUCUCGAAUGGAAUUUAAAUCAUGAAAAUGUGUUUGGUCUCUACGAUUGCUCAUAAUUGCUUGGCUUGCCACCAAUGUAUCACAAGGUUAAACAUUACUUGAUAUUAAUUGUUUGAUACUUGGCAUUCCAUUGAAAUAUUUACACAGAUCUCUUAUCGUUUUUAUUUAAAAGAAUAGGUUAUUUGCGUAGAUAAGUCAGCGAUAUACUUGUGAAAAAUUAUCUUUAUGUAAGACUUCGGCCUUUCCCGAUGGGGAUUUUCUCUACUAUUUUGUGGCUAUUUUUUCAGAAUAUGGGAAGGCACACAGAAAAAUGUGGGUUGAUCCUUGGAUUCUCAGAGGAUGAAAAUUCACAGUGUAUCAAGUUAUCACCGACUGUAAGGUGGCUAUUCUAAUUGUAUCGUUAUGUAA